UCGCCGCUGGCUGGCAGUCGCCACCCGGUCCCAGAGUAAAUAAGGGAGAGACACUCCCGAGCGCCGUAAAUAGAGUCCAAGUGGGCGGAGAGCCGUCCCGCGCCUCCCGCUCAUGUCUCUGCAGAGCCGACUGUCCGGCCGCCUGGCACAGCUGCGCGCGGCGGGGCAGCUGCUGGUCCCCCCGCUCCCCCGCCACUUGGCGGGUGCCACGAGGACCCGCAGCAGCACGUGCGGUCCCCCGGCGUUCCUGGGCGUGUUCGGCCGCCGCGCGCAGACCUCGGCGGGAGUUGGGGCGUGGGGGGCGGCGGCGGUGGGGCGGACAGCCGGGGUGCGCACUUGGGCCCCCCUGGCCAUGGCGGCGAAGGUGGACCUGAGCACCUCCACCGACUGGAAGGAGGCGAAAUCCUUUCUGAAGGGCCUGAGUGACAAGCAGCGGGAGGAACAUUACUUCUGCAAGGACUUUGUCAGGCUGAAGAAGAUCCCGACAUGGAAGGAGAUGGCGAAAGGGGUGGCUGUGAAGGUGGAGGAGCCCAGGUAUAAAAAGGACAAGCAGCUCAAUGAGAAAAUCUCCCUGAUCCGCAGCGACAUCACCAAGCUGGAGGUGGACGCCAUCGUCAACGCUGUGGACGGCUGCAUUCACCGGGCCGGCGGCCCCCUGCUUACCGACGAGUGCCGGACCCUGCAGAGCUGUGAGACUGGCAAGGCCAAGAUCACCGGCGGCUAUCGGCUCCCGGCCAAGUGUGAGUCCCCGACGCGCCCCCAGCUGCGGGGCGCAGACAGGGCGCCCAUGUGUCACUGGGACAUCAGGGGUGCGGCCCCCACAGGAGUGCUGGGGACCUCCUCAGGGGGCCCUUCUUAACCUUAAGGGCCAAGACCCGGCCCCCACCCCGCAC
rnacentral:sRNA from 1 species